rnacentral:misc_RNA from 1 species
AACUGAUACUACCUGCGGGAACCUGCGGAAGGAUCAUUACCGAGUUUUCAACUCCCAAACCCCAUGUGAACUUAUACCAUUUACACCGUUGCUUCGGCGGGUUCUCGCCCCGGGCUUUACAACCCCGGAACCAGGCGGCCCGCCGGGGGACCCAAACUCUAGAUUUUAUUUUAGCAUGUCUGAGUGGAAUCAUUACAAAAUGAAUCAAAACUUUCAACAACGGAUCUCUAGAUCGGAAGA